CUUAGUGGCGGACGGGUGAGUAACGCGUGAGAAUCUGCCUUCAGGACGGAGACAACAGUUGGAAACGACUGCUAAGCCCCGAUGAACCGAAAGGGAAAAUAUUUAUAGCCUGAAGAUGAGCUCGCGUCCGAUUAGCUAGUUGGCGGAGUAAAAGCCCACCAAGGCGACGAUCGGUAGCUGGUCUGAGAGGACGAUCAGCCAUACUGGGACUGAGACACGGCCCAG
rnacentral:rRNA from 1 species